rnacentral:rRNA from 1 species
ACUGAACUCUGGCGGCAGGCUUACCACAUGCAAGUCGAACGAGUGGCGGACGGGUGAGUAAUGUCUGGGAAACUGCCUGAUGGAGGGGGAUAACUACUGGAAACGGUAGCUAAUACCGCAUACCAUCGGAUGUGCCCAGAUGGGAUUAGCUAGUAGGUGGGGUAAAGGCUCACCUAGGCGACGAUCCCUAGCUGAUCUGAGCGGAUGACCGGCCACACUGGAACGGAGACACGGUCCAGACGCCUGCGGGAGGCAGAAGUGGGGAAUAUUGCACAAUGGGCACAAGCCUGAUGCAGCCAUGCCGCGUGUAUGAAGAAGGCGUUCGGGUUGUAAAGUACUUUCAGCGGGGAGGCGUUACCCGCAGGAGAAGCACCGGCUAACUCCGUGCCAGCAGCCGCGGUAAUUC